GCAGGUGCCAUGGCAGGCUCUCCACAGAAGCGGUUGAGGAUUUGAGAAGAGGUUGCAGAUGAUCAAGGAGCGACACGUGCAGGGAUGGCUUGAAAAGGGUGAUUAGCUUCAGGUUCCAGGUGGGACCUAGUGGUAACUGAGUUGCAGGUAUUCCAUGACAGAGCUCCUUCUGCCUGGGCUGCUUUUUGGGUAGGUAAACAUUAGGAGGAACCGGUCAAAGGUAACAGCGCUUUCUGGAACCGUCAAGUUCUUGUUCGGCAACGUAGUGACUGGUUUGAUCUACUUCACAGAUGGAGAGUGGUAGAUAACAUUUAUAAGGAAUCGGUCAAAGGAAAGAGCGCCUUCUGGAACUGUGAAGCUCUGUGUUGGCAACUCGGUGACUGGCUGGACCUACUGUCCAUCUCC
rnacentral:lncRNA from 1 species